rnacentral:rRNA from 1 species
UACGUAGGGUGCAAGCGUUAAUCGGAAUUACUGGGCGUAAAGCGUGCGCAGGCGGUUGUGCAAGACCGAUGUGAAAUCCCCGGGCUUAACCUGGGAAUGGCAUUGGUGACUGCACGGCUAGAGUGUGUCAGAGGGGGGUAGAAUUCCACGUGUAGCAGUGAAAUUCGUAGAUAUCGGGAGGAACACCAGUGGCGAAGGCGGCGACCUGGGCCAAUACUGACGCUGAGGUGCGAAAGCGUGGGGAGCGAACAGG